GAUGAAGAACGUAGCGAAAUGCGAUAAGUAAUGUGAAUUGCAGAGUUCAGUGAAUCAUCGAAUCUUUGAACGCACAUUGCGCCCGCCAGUAUUCUGGCGGGCAUGCCUGUUCGAGCGUCAUUUCAACCAUCAAGCCCCCGGCUUGUGUUGGGGACCUGCGGCUGCCGCAGGCCCUGAAAACCAGUGGCGGGCUCGCUAGUCACUCCGAGCGUAGUAAUACAUCUCGCUCAGGGCGUGCUGCGGGUUCCGGCCGUUAAAAGCCUUAUUUACCCAAGGUUGACCUCGGAUCAGGUAGGAAGACCCGCUGAACUUAAGCAUAUCAAUAAGCGGAGGA
rnacentral:misc_RNA from 1 species